CAGGUCCCCACAACCACGCUGGCGAAGAGACUGACGUAAUCCUUGACGUCGGCAAACCAAACUUUACCUUUCCUAUAUAUAUAUUAACGCGACCGUGCUGGAUCUUCCUCAACUCGCUAAGAGAAUCACGAAUUUGAUCUGAUAAGCAAGAAGAAAGUUAGACAUGGCUGAACAAGUUGAAAUGCCGCGAGUAAAACUCGGAACCCAAGGACUUGAGGUAUUUAAUAUUCUUUUCUUAAUUCAUUCGAUUUAAUUUGUAAAUCCCAUUUGAAUUUUUGUUUUCGGCCGGAUCCGACGACCAGUGACCUUUGUGAAUCAAAUCUCUGCACAACUUUGCACUUGCGUUUCAUCACGGAACGGAGUGAAUUUUGUGGAUCUCUUACAUAUUUGUCUGGAUACUGGUAAAUAAGCGUACCAAUUUAAUUAUUAAUUUGUCUGGAUACUGAUAAAGAAGUGGAAAAAAGCCAUUAAAACAGCCCACCCUCCAGGCGCCCCUGUUUCCAAGCCUGUUUUUGGGCCUGUCCCAAAAGCAGGGCUGAAAUAAGCACCUAUUUGUCAUCUAUUUUCUCCCAUUUUUUUCAUUAUUUUUUUUACAGAACUUAUUUUCAAUGACAAAUUCUUCAUUAAAAUAACAUUACAGGAUUUUUUUUACCACACAUUUCAACAUCAAUUACUAUUCCACGAUACAUUCUUCCCAAAUCGGUGACAAACACACCCAAGUGUACCAGUUUAAUUAUUAACAUAUGGAAAUAAGGUUCAAGAAAAAUGGACAGAGAAUCUGUUAAAAAGCCUGAUGUAAAGUUAUAGAAAUAUUACUUAGAAUUUGAAGAAAAUCCAAUAUUGAAUCACUUGCAGUUGUUUUCUCAAAGAUGGAACACUCAUUUUUGUCCAAAUACUUUUACAUUGAAUAACACAAGAUUCCCACAAUCCACGAUAAUUUGUAUAGGGAUAUGGGUAAUGGGUGCAAAUUGAUCGGCAAAUUCUGCAACCAUUAAUUAGUUUUCUUCAGAUAAUGUUUUCUUGAAUCUUAUUGCUUCAUCCAGUGAUAUAUAUUUUUUAUGGCAUGGCAGGUAUCAAAGUUAGGUUAUGGUUGUAUGGGGCUUACUGGAAGCUACAAUGUUCCUGUUCCCGACGAGGAAGGAAUUGCAGUAAUCAAAGAGGCAUUUAGUAAAGGCAUUACAUUUUUUGACACAUCUGAUAUUUAUGGCGCGAACAAUGCCAAUGAAUACUUGGUCGGAAAGGUAAUUUCUAAGAUACUUAUUUUAGAUUAAAGCAGCACAUUUGAAUUUAUAUGCUGGCAACAUACUUUUUCUUCUUUAGUGGUUGUAAGAUGAUGGGAACUACAUAUUUAAAUUCCAAUUUCUUCGAUAAACUGCAGCAUGUUAAGGGAUAAAAAUCCCACAUCGAUUAAGUACCGAAAUAUUGAGUAACUUGAAAAGAUCUUGGACUCCUCCUCUUAACAAGGUUGACCUUAUUAAGAUGGACCUCAAAUCUCCAUUAAGCUCCAACCAACGAUUCGAUUCGAUUAUAAGUCUCAAUUAAUGAGCAAUGGAUUGCAAGAUUGGUCUGUUCAAACGAGCCACCAUCUUGCGGGGGCAUAUUAAGGGAUGAAAAUCUCACAUCAGUUAAAUAUUGAAAUAUUGAUCAACUUAAAAAAAAUUUGGACUACUCUUCUUAAUAGGAUUGACUUUAUUAAGAUGGAUCCCAAAUUUUAACACAACACAAGUAUAUGUUAGUAUGGUCCACAAAAAAAAUGGAUUGUAAAUUUAGCUUCUUUUUUUCUGAUUUAAUCUAAUUCCGUGCUGCUUUCAGCACUGAAGCUUCCAAGUCACUGACUUGAAAGUUGUAAUGGUUAUGCUGAACUGUAUAUUACCUUUUUUUUUUCUUCAUAAAUUUAAAUUCCAAUUUUCAUCAUUUAUAUAAAUUAAAGCAUCAAAGUCUGAUAUAUAUGACCAAUUAUAGGUUUUUAGGAUUCUAGGUUUGAUUCAUUUGUAUAGGUUUGUGAUUUGUUUUUCUAGUAUAAAAUCAGGUCUUCCAUUUACUUAUUUGACUCCGCAAUUGUAAUAACUAUAAGAGAAGAGAUCCAAUGGUAAAAAGAAUUAUAGACAUGACAGCUUUCUUGAAUUUAUAUUACAAAGUUUCAAUAUUUGGAGAUGCUAUUCUUUGGAAAGGUGAUAUAAAUUUUGUUUUAAGUUAUUCUUCAGUUAUAUUUAACUUCAGCUUUCAGUAUCGAACCAUGAGAUAACUGUUGAUUGAAAACAACUAAAAGUAACAUAUAAGCAUUUAUUAUCACAUUUGAGUGAACUUACUUAAGACAUUCAAUUGCUGCAGGCAUUAAAGCAGUUACCUCGAGAAAAGGUUGAGUUGGCUACAAAAUUUGGUGUAUUUAAAAUUGGGGGUCCUGAAGUCAUAGUAAAAGGUUCACCUGAAUAUGUCCGUUCUUGUUGUGAGGCUAGCUUGAAGCGUCUUGACGUGGAUUAUAUUGAUCUCUACUACAUACAUCGGAUUGAUCAGACUGUGCCUAUUGAAGAGACGGUUAGUUUUUCUUAUAUACUUUUAUUUGUGAUAUUGUUCUUAUAUAGCCAUUUUGAUUAGUGUCCAUUGACCUCAUUUUCUCUUUUUUGUAUUCGUCUUUCUUAACACGCUUUCUAUAUCACUUAAUAUUACGUCUUGAUGAUAAACUUGUUUAUGAGUUGCAGAUGGGAGAACUAAAAAAGCUAGUUGAAGAAGGUAAAAUAAAAUAUAUUGGGUUAUCUGAAGCUAGCCCAAACACAAUAAGGAGGGCACAUGCAGUUCAUCCUAUUACUGCUAUACAAAUGGAAUAUUCCCUUUGGACUCGUAACAUCGAAGAAGAAUUUAUUCCACUUUGCAGGUUCUAAUUAUUUCUCAAAUAUUUCUAUUAUAAUGCUGAUUGUUCAAAAUAUUACAUUUUAGGCAAAAAAUUUUGGCAAAUCAAAUUUUAAGACGGUGAAAGCAGAUGUUCGAAUCUCAUAUUUAUUUUUUCACGACAUAAAGUACUUGAUGUCAUUCCUUCUUCGACUAACAUUGCAAUGUUCAGUUCCUAUUCUCCAAUAUAAUAGUUCGCGUUUGUGUACUUCUCUUGUUGAUGUGUUAAACUUGUAUUUUUGAUGGGUUAAAUACAGUCUUACUUAGGGUUUUGAUAAUUAUUGCUUUUGAUGAGGAUGCUAAAAGUUCUUUUCUUUCUUUCGAGUGCCCUAAUUCAUCUUUUUUCCAUUACUAUUCAUCAAGUAUGUGUAGUUUUUAUCUUAUCGUUCUCCUCCCUGUUCAAUAAUAAUGUUCUCAUAUAGGAUUUCCUUUUCUUUUUGGAAUGGUUUAUUAGGGAACUUGGUAUCGGAAUAGUUCCAUACAGCCCAGUGGGCCGAGGGUUUUUUGCUGGGAAGGCCAUAGUGGAGAGCUUGCCCCCAAGUAGCAGACUGGUUCGUAUGCUUCCUGUCUUUUAAUUUUAGACAUGUAAACUCUACCUUGGAAUCCAAGAUGAUUUAGUAGUUUCUUCAUUUUAGUUAUCUGUACUUGCUGAAUCGUCGCCUGAUUUUCGUACCAUCAGGCACAUCACCCAAGGUUUACAGAAGAGAACUUAGAUAAAAACAAAGUCAUUUAUUUUCGUAUUGAAGCAUUAGCUAAGAAGCAUGGAUGUACUCCUGCCCAACUUGCGCUUGCAUGGGUUCUUCAUCAAGGAGAUGAUGUUGUACCUAUUCCGGGUAAGCCUGUUCAUAUUUAAUUUGCAUUAAAUAUGGUAGGGUUUGAUGAGAGUUUGGCGUACUUAUUUUGUUAUACUUGAAAUAUUGUGAUUACUUGUCAAUGUUGUCAGAGAUUUUAUGCAAAACCGCAUAGUAAUGGAUAGUAACUAAAACAUUUAUUAUCAUAUUCACUCCAUGGAUUGUUUUUAUUUUAACAGUAACAUGCCAUUCAACUUGCAACAUUGUAGGUACGACUAAGAUAAAAAAUCUCCACGAUAAUAUUGGUUCCGUGAAAGUGAAGCUUACAAAAGAUGAUUUAAAAGAGAUCUCUGAUGCAGUCCCCAUCGAUGAAGUGGCAGGGUCAAAAUCUGACAGCGCUAUUGGUCGGGUCAAUGCGCAAUUUGCCGAUACCCCACCCCCAAAAUGAACAUUGCAAGAUUGUUGAUAAAUCUUUGUAUGUUAUGUUUUCAAAUGUGGGCGUCUGAUAUUUGUAACAAUUUUGUCGUAGACAUAUUGCUACUACUCUUGGUUCAAUAAUGCAAGUAAUGUUUCUCUUCAGUCACUAGGGUUGUAUCAUGAACUAUGAAUUAUCGAUAAAUUAUUAGUAAUUUUUUUUUUAAAGAAUAGUUGGUAGAUAAUUCAGUCAGGCGUGGAUUGCAUAUUUUGGCAUGAUAUAUUACACUUUUGUGUCUAUUUAUAUAUUUGUAAUUAAGGCCAUAUGAUCAAUAAAAAAUCUUUAAACAAGUUCUUCAUAAAUUUUCUCCCGAAUAUGGGUAUUUCAUUUUUGUUUACUAGUGACUGAUGCAACUCAAUACUCAU
rnacentral:lncRNA from 1 species